AGAGUUUGAUCAUGGCUCAGAUUGAACGCUGGCGGCAGGCCUAACACAUGCAAGUCGAACGGUAACAGGAAGAAGCUUGCUUCUUUGCUGACGAGUGGCGGACGGGUGAGUAAUGUCUGGGAAACUGCCUGAUGGAGGGGGAUAACUACUGGAAACGGUAGCUAAUACCGCAUAACGUCGCAAGACCAAAGAGGGGGACCUUCGGGCCUCUUGCCAUCGGAUGUGCCCAGAUGGGAUUAGCUAGUAGGUGGGGUAACGGCUCACCUAGGCGACGAUCCCUAGCUGGUCUGAGAGGAUGACCAGCCACACUGGAACUGAGACACGGUCCAGACUCCUACGGGAGGCAGCAGUGGGGAAUAUUGCACAAUGGGCGCAAGCCUGAUGCAGCCAUGCCGCGUGUAUGAAGAAGGCCUUCGGGUUGUAAAGUACUUUCAGCGGGGAGGAAGGGAGUAAAGUUAAUACCUUUGCUCAUUGACGUUACCCGCAGAAGAAGCACCGGCUAACUCCGUGCCAGCAGCCGCGGUAAUACGGAGGGCGCAAGCGUUAAUCGGAAUUACUGGGCGUAAAGCGCACGCAGGCGGUUUGUUAAGUCAGAUGUGAAAUCCCCGGGCUCAACCUGGGAACUGCAUCUGAUACUGGCAAGCUUGAGCCUCGUAGAGGGGGGUAGAAUUCCAGGUGUAGCGGUGAAAUGCGUAGAGAUCUGGAGGAAUACCGGUGGCGAAGGCGGCCCCCUGGACGAAGACUGACGCUCAGGUGCGAAAGCGUGGGGAGCAAACAGGAUUAGAUACCCUGGUAGUCCACGCCGUAAACGAUGUCGACUUGGAGGUUGUGCCCUUGAGGCGUGGCUUCCGGAGCUAACGCGUUAAGUCGACCGCCUGGGGAGUACGGCCGCAAGGUUAAAACUCAAAUGAAUUGACGGGGGCCCGCACAAGCGGUGGAGCAUGUGGUUUAAUUCGAUGCAACGCGAAGAACCUUACCUGGUCUUGACAUCCACAGAACUUUCCAGAGAUGGAUUGGUGCCUUCGGGAACUGUGAGACAGGUGCCGCAUGGCUGUCGUCAGCUCGUGUUGUGAAAUGUUGGGUUAAGUCCCGCAACGAGCGCAACCCUUAUCUUUUGUUGCCAGCGGUCCGGCCGGGAACUCAAAGGAGACUGCCAGUGAUAAACUGGAGGAAGGUGGGGAUGACGUCAAGUCAUCAUGGCCCUUACGACCAGGGCUACACACGUGCUACAAUGGCGCAUACAAAGAGAAGCGACCUCGCGAGAGCAAGCGGACCUCAUAAAGUGCGUCGUAGUCCGGAUUGGAGUCUGCAACUCGACUCCAUGAAGUCGGAAUCGCUAGUAAUCGUGGAUCAGAAUGCCACGGUGAAUACGUUCCCGGGCCUUGUACACACCGCCCGUCACACCAUGGGAGUGGGUUGCAAAAGAAGUAGGUAGCUUAACCUUCGGGAGGGCGCUUACCACUUUGUGAUUCAUGACUGGGGUGAAGUCGUAACAAGGUAACCGUAGGGGAACCUGCGGUUG
rnacentral:rRNA from 1 species